UCAAAAACCACAUUUCGAAUGAUAAUAAUAAUUACAACAAACGGAGGCCUCGUCUCGCUUACAUAAAUUUCCCUCGCGACCCGAAUAUACAAUGGGAAAUUUCCAACGCUUAAGAAACGCCACCUUCUGCGUGUGAGAGAGAGAGAGAGAAAAAAGUAUACAAACAGAUGAACGAAUUCCAAAGGAAUGGAUGUGUUCGAGACAGGAAACGAAAACAGAUUCCUCCGUGUGGUCAAGAGCAUUGACUCACUCGCACAACCGGUAAUCCUGAGCUUAUAUACAUAACAAUAAUCUUUUCGCCGGUUGCAUAAGAUUCGCCUGCAGGUGCUAAAAUUAUAAAUAGAUUUAUAAGUGGAAGGAAACAGAAAUAAAGUUGCUUAACAAAUUGUUAAGUAGUAGCAGAAGGAAUUCAACUGUUGAUGAUUUGAAGACAACAAGGAAUAAAGAAAGGAAUUGGAGAGUGUUUUAUGUUUGAGAAAGGGAUUCGCAUUUCGAUUUUCGCACAUUUUAAGUGGUCGGAUUGAAUUGGUGGUGGCAGUGGAAGCGUUAUGGGAAUGCAACUCGUUUGCGAGAAUCAAUUAAGUUCGAGAUAAAUGCAAAUUAAACGAACGGCGACGUUCUUUCGAAGCACGUUCGCGCCGUGCUGUGUGCGUUAUGCAACGGCGACGUCGCCCACGCCGCUUUCGGUUAUCGGCAGAAAAGGAAUCCGGCAAUUAUCCUCUCCCGGUGGCUCCCCGUUACGGAUCCAGAUAAUGCGGUUACGUUACACAAGUACACAUCGCGUUACGUGUGUUUCAGGAUUUCUUCUCCCUUUGACUGGAUGGAUGAUGAAGAUGAUGAUGAUCAUGAUGA